rnacentral:pre_miRNA from 1 species
AGAUUUAGGGCCUGAUCCAAAGCCAUAGAAGUCAAUGGGAAUCUUUCCAUUGACUUCAAAGUGGGUUGGGUCAAGCCCAUCU